rfam:Paenibacillus mucilaginosus 3016, complete genome.
GCGGAUGUAGUUCAAUGGCAGAACUCCAGCUUCCCAAGCUGGUAGCGUGGGUUCGAUUCCCAUCAUCCGCU